UUGGCGGAAAGUUUGGUUCGGCAGCAAAGUUAACUCAGUUAAGUUCUCCGCUCCUAAAGCGAAACUUCGGUUCUCCAACGCCUGCCCUGCCAGCCUGGUUGCCUGCCUCUGCCUGGCUUGCUCUCCAUCCUCUCCCUUCUCUCCUUUUCCUGCCGUGUGCCUUCGCCCUUUCUCUGUCUCUCCCUUCGUCUCGCGACCGUGCUUCCUACUGUCUUGGCCAUCCUUCCUUCCUUCUAUAUCCAUUCCUACGGUGCUCCACGAAUAAGCAAUGUGUUUUGGAAUUAUCACUUUUCCGCAAACUUUCGUCACGAUGUUUCGCCGCGGCGAUCGAUCGGCAUCGACCCGCGCGCGACCGGUGUCACUCUCGUUUGCCUUCUGUGCUACUCUCUCCGUGCACCGGUCGCGUCAAUCUAGGCCCAGGCCCAGGCCCAGGCCCAGGCCAUCCAUUUUGCAGUUGGAACAAAACGUUUUCAAGUAUGUACACGCGGAUGCGGUUACGAGGGGCAAGACUUCUUUUUUCAGACUUCCCUCGAGCUGUGAGUGUUUGAAGAAAAUUUAGGAGUUUCAUGUGCCCGUUCUUGAGAGUGUUGCUCUUAAGAUGAUUUGCAUAAAUUGUUGAGCUUUCGUAUGGAUAUAAAGUUUGAGGUGUUAAAGCUAAAUGACGUAAUUAAGGCACCCUUUUCGUAUGACUAUUAUCAAUAUGAUCGAUGCAUUAUUCAUAUGUAUGGUGUACAUAUAAAAUUAAGAUUAUUAUAUGAAUUGUUAAAAGAUUAAACAUUUUGAAAAGAUACACUUUAUUAGAUAUAAGUCUUUGUGAUUAUUUCUUGUAAUAUUUCUGCAUAAAAGUUCAAGGUCAGUCAUUUAUAAAUUGAAUUCCUUUGCUACCGGCUAAAGAUUUCAAAACACAGUAUAAAAUUUCACGUGAAAAUGGUCAAAAGUAAAAGUGACUUGGAAACAGCUAGGUAAAGCCUGUAAACUUCGACGAGACGUUUCAGGAAGAAAGAUGUUUCUCCCACUUCCCUGAGAACUCUGCCCCCUCCCGCGUUCAGAGUGGCAGGCAACGAUCGAAAUUCCAAGACGAAGUUUACGAGAUUCCAAGGAAAGCGCGAGUUUCGCUCGCGUUCAUCGUUGCCUUUCUUCGCAUACGUACGUAUAUAGGAGCUUGUAAGCAUCGUUUUGUAACAGAUACCAGUCAGCAUCAACCGCGUACUGUCCCUCCUUUGAUGGUACGCCCGAGCAAAAAAGAAACCGGUCGAGUCGGUACUUACGAAGAGGUUUAGCUUUCAGGGUUCAUGUAUGUAUGUACAUAGUUUGAAAAGAAGUUACGACCGUUCUUCUGGCCAAACGGACGGAAAGAACUUUCCUGCGCCAAUAAUUUUUUGGAGCAAAAAAAUUACUCAGACGUGGAAAAGAAGCAGUUUCGUAUUUAGAUGUUUUAACUAAAUUGUAAAUGGUUUCGAUGUUGCGCAAACGUUAUUUCCUGGUACUUCUUCCAUUACUGAACUAACAUUAUCAGCAAAAUUUUACCAAUCGCGACUUGCAAGUUAUCAAUGCUCUCACUAAUAAAUUCUCUUGGAUAACAAGUCUAAUAAAAUAGUAAAACAAGCAAAAUUCUACAAAUGAACUUAACAAAUUAUUCGACAUAAAAUUGUAAAAAUUGUUUGUGCAGUGAAAGCUUGUAACAAACAACUCAUUACAUGCCAAUAUACUAAUAUUAACAAUUAGUAGUUUAUUAGUAUUUUUAACUAGUAAAUUAUAUCAAUCUUUUACAUUACAUAUAUUAAAUAUAUCAUUACUAAAUUACUGUGCAAGAGAAGAGGACACUUGCUAUUCAGUUGAAUGUAAAAUGGGAAAUUAUUAGAAAACACUCUACAAUUGUACGCUAUUACAUGGAUUAAAAUUUCUUUUAUCUUUUUAAUUUAGAUUUUUUACAAAUUUCGAAAAUGCAACUGGAAAUGCGCAAGAACCGUCUUAUUUAAAGUAGUAGGAGUGAGAUAAUUUAUUUAUAAUAAUUUGAUAACGAGAUUAUGUAGGUAGAAAUCUUUAAGUAAACAGAUAAUACAUUUGAAGAUCAUAAGAUACGCAUGAUGAUUCAUAGAAAUGAAAGAUAAUACUUCGUAGGACAUACAUAUCUACGCGUUAAAUCGAAUGUAGUAUGUAUAUAUUUAUGUGGAAAAUUUUUGAAAUUAAAUUUUUGCUCCAUCAUAUCGAAUUAACUGAUUCUUCGUCAAAGAGAAUAGAUUAAAUCCUUAUUUCAAUAAUUUAUGAUAAUACCGAUAAAUCAAUUGAUAAUGUUUAAAAGAAAAUACGGUAGCAUUCUAAUUACUCCUAAGGUUUUUCUUAAUAACGACAGCUUAUAAAUUAUUGUACAUAUCGCUUACGUUCACGCGAUAUUUUUUUUACAUACUUAUUUAAUAUGUAAAUUCAAUUCAUGAAGUAUUACUAUAUACCUGUGAAUCGUCUCGAAUUAUUUUGAACAUAAGACUAAUUUUUCCGUACCGAUAAUUCGCUUAAUAUUUGCUCUUGUAACAUACUAAAACAAUUAUUUUUUUCUUCCUCUUUGUAAAACUAAAAGGAUUUGUAAAUUAGCUCUAAUAUGAUUUUUAGAAAAUUUUAGCAAAAUAAAAAAGAUCGAGAGAAAACAGAAUAAGUAAGGAAAGGAGAAGAAAAUAGAAAAGGAAAAGUAAUAAGAAAGCAAGAUAAACAAGAAAUGGUUGAACUCUGUAAAUUCAUUCGCCGCGUCGGCCUUGAGAUCGCACUCGGUUCUGCAAAUGUCGAUGCACAUGCAAAGUGCGCUCGAAGCACGAACCUCCGUGUCUGCCUCCUCUUUUACACACUGAUCGAUAUAGGUGCACGCAUUAAUAACUUGCUGCCUUUGCACCGUGACAGUCAAAUCGGCUCAUCCAGUGACUCAUCCCGGCUCGCGAGAGUAGUAUUCGAGUUUGUGCGAGUCAACUUGGAAAACAUUUGGCUCGCUACGUUUCAGCAUCGUCCCUGGGCGUUUACCUUGGCAAACUAUUCCUCGGCAGGAGUUACGGAUCCAUUCAAGCGCCGCGCGGUUCGUGUUCGCGCAAAAGGAACAACGGCGAUAGCAGAAAAAUUCAGCGUUAAAGAUUCCCAAGUUGGUGGAAACUUUUAAUUAGCCACUGACAAAAGGCGUCGCCAGUUACGUUCGUUGAACAAAAGCGAUAAUAGGAGCAACGACGGUAAACUGACGGUACAAUCGUUCGUCGCUUCAAACUUUCAACCAGUAAUAACCUACAGAGCAAAAGCGUGCAACAGAGUGUACGUGGGAGAAAGUACAAGAGCACGGACUCGUGUCGAGUCACUACACACAUUCGUUGCAUUCAUAUCUGAAACCUUGAAGACAGAGAGAGGCCGACAGGUGGCGAAUGGAACGACUCGAGCACACGGAACGCUUCUCAAAACCGUUUAACAUCCGUUUAACAUCCCUUUAAGCGUCUCCAUGCCGGCCGACGAGUGACGUUAAAUCAGAUCUGACCGUGCGCGCGCACGGUCGCGGUCCGUUCGAGUAUUACGAUGCAAAGAAUUGUUACGGCAUCUCUUGUACGAGAGAUCCAUCCAUUCGCAUAACUCUGCCUCACUACUGCGCCGCGCGGUCGGGUUAAGAAGGACUCGAUCGAGAAGCAUACAUAAAAAGAACAAUGCCAGUGCGGCUGAAGACAUGUGCCAGCUCGUGUCUCCUUCUAUUCAUGGGUAGGGGAACGCGAUGAAUAUACCCUUGUUGAGUUUCAAAGUUACAUACACUCCGUCGACUUCGCCAACCCCUCCUUCUUUACGGUUCCCUAUAUCCUCUUCCGCUCUGAAUCAGAAUUUUCCACAUAAACCGCGACAACUUUUCUUAUUGUUUCCGCGCCCAUUCUAGACGCGCUUCACGGAAUAAAUCACUUCCAAAGAAACAAAGAAAGUUGUUCGUAAAACCUUCCAUACGCUACUACUACACACUAUGCCUCACUGGAUAUAUUAAAAAUACAAAAGAAAAAAUGAAAAGAAACAGGCUCAGCAGUAAUCAUUAUUAUCGUAAAUACGUUCAAGAAAGUACAGCGAAAUUCAGCGAAUCGACGACAAGAUUUCCAAACAAACCGGUUCGAGCUGAGAACCUCGUAGUUCUAAUUCUAGUUGAGAAGAAACUUAGCGAGAUAUUAAAUUAAUUUGAGCGCAAACGCAGUCAGGACAGAAUUUUCCCAUGCGAGAUCUAUCCAACGAAAUGAAUGAUUUCUAGAGGCACGAUAAUCUAAAGAACACAUCGUUCGGAGAAAUACACAAUACUUACACACAUCUAUCUAUGUAUAUUGUACGCGCUCGACGCGUUGAUUAGCACAAUAUCUCAAAUCAAUCGAGCAAGGAAGGACUAAUAACUCCUAGAGAAAUGAUAAUCCAUUAGCGAAGCGUAAUGACCUAUAACCCAUUAGGCGCAACGGUUACAUGGAGAACAAAUUCGUCCACGUAUUAGAGCGGCCAAUUUAUAACUUACUUCACGCUCGCUCGCGUCCCCGCGUAAGAACGUCCGAGAACGGCUCAAGUAUGUGAGAGAGUGCGCGUAUAAAAGCGACCUCACGGGGCCGCAAGUAUAUACAAACGAUUUUCUCUCUCUCCUGUAUGCGCGCGAUUCACCAGCAUGGAAGCAGCAGCAGCAGCAGCAGCACGAGCACCGAUGAGUGAGUCCCGCGUACACUUAUUUUCUCGUGGAUGUACCCAUGUACACCUACGUUCGUGCUUGCUACGUAAUACGUACGCAGAGGACAUAAAACUUGCUUCUCGUGUCUUCCCCGUCGCUCUUUUGCCUCUUUUCCCGUUCUCUCUCUCUCUCUCUCUCUCUCUCUUUGCCCUCCCUACCCCUUUCUCUUUCUGCUGUGUGAUCGUCCCCAACGUUCGUCGCGUCAGCUCGACCUAUGCGCGCGCGGCGCACACCUAUACAGAGUUACAGCGGGUUAGGACAAGUGCGUAGAGAGCGGCAGAGAGUAGUUUCAUGGAGUUUAGUUCCUCGUAGUGGAUAUGGCAUCUUGACUCCUAGUAGUGGAGUGUGGCAAGCAAUGGCCGGCCCGAUCGAUGUCUCGGCAACUUCCCACCCUCGACAGUCUGCCCCUCUCUUCACGACACGUCCCCUCCUCUCACCCUCGCCCCGCUUUGGCACCCAACUCUCCGGCUUUCCUCAUCCCAACCGUCAGACCUCCCCGUCUCGCCCAACCACCUCCCGCUGUCCCCAUCCUCCGACACAUCGAACUAAAUCCCGGAGCUGCUUACUGCUUCCAAGUCUGUUUACAAUGGCGAUGCGCUACCCCCAUUAUCCUGGGGUCGUACUUCACGUUCGGACUACAUCACCUCAAUGACGACAACGACGAGUUUCUUUUUCUCAACUUUGUAUGUUUCUUUCGAACGAUCCACACCUUUUCUCUCUCUCUCUCUCUCUCUCCCCCUCCCCUCCCCUCCACUAUCCAAUAUUCACGUAGCAGCCGUAUCUCUAUUUGUUUUAUCUCGUUUUAUAGCGCGAUUCCUGUAAUCUGAAGUAUUUCAGACAUUUCCAGGUAUAUACGCGUAUAGUAUAUUUAGCUUGGUCAAUUUACUGGAAGAUAUUCCAACGACCAUAGUUAUGUACAGCGUACUGUGGGGACCUUCUUUGACUGAGCAAUGAAUACGGAGAUACAUGAUGCGCGUCCGUUACUAUCUAACCAAUUACAUCUCGAUAUCUGAGUGAUCUAAAUGAUCGAAUGCUAAAGCAUAGUCGAUAAUUUGAAGAAGAAACAUUGGUAAUAAUCCUUAAAUGCGUAUUAGAAUAUAUGGGACGUAUUUGCAUGAUUACGAAUAACCAAUUUGUUGCAAGUAUGAUCAAUGACGUCGUUUCUUUUGCGUGUUCCAGACGCAUUGUUCCACGUUAUUUACGUAAUACAUGUGCAUUUAUCUAUUAUUAUAGCUAUCCAUGUCCGUUUUCCGCAAGACUGGCAGAAACGAAUAGCAAUAUCUAUAUUUUCAUUCCAUUGUACAGGCAUUGUAGAAAUCGAUUGCCUGUAGCCUGAAUAGCAUAGCAGUAAUUACGCUUUUCCCUAUUCUCGAUUAUUUGUACAAGAAGAAGCGGCCCAUGACGAAAAGAAAUCAGGGUGCAUACGAAACAGUUUCCAACGUUCCGCUGGCUGCUCGCAUAGAAAUUGUCAUAUAUCUUUUUCGCGAAUCUGUACGACACGCUCUAGUAUCUAUCGAAUAGCACUUGCGAGCGAUACCGGGGCACUUAGUGGUGGAGAAAAAAAAUGCCAUUGGGUCCAAUCUCGGAUUUAUAAACGUUUCUCUUUCUGUAGGUUUCCGCGCUUUAAUAUCCCAAAUGAAAAUACCUCUUUUAAUUGACUAAUUUAUAAGUAGUAUUUCUGUGUUCUUUUCAAUCGUGCUCAAAUUAAGAAAACACUCACAUAUUCAACGCAUAUGAUACUAUGAGAUAAGUUAUUAUCCUUCUGCAUGAAUACAAUUGCAAUGAAAAGCUUCAAGUCAACAUAUCCGGUGAAAUUACUAUCUGUCCGAAUCGCAUACAACUGGCAGGAAACGGCGAAAAAUGUGCCCUCUAUCGUGCAGAUUUUUGAUUACACGACAUCUAACGGAAAGCCCCGUCCUCAUGCUCGACGAAACUUGAGCGACGAAACCGAAAAGAGGAGGAGAAACCUAUAAGCUCGUCUCUCUCCCCUGAGAGAAGUAUAGCAUACCCAAUAGUUGAGUCAGGUCAGUUUGCUAGCCUUACAUAAAAGAGGCUAAGUAACGACGAAGAGAAAGAAGAUAGGAAACGUUAUAAGAUAUACACACAGGACGAACAGGGCAAACCUGAAGAGAACAGUGCUGCGGGAGAAGAGAGGCAUCGAGGCAAGGAGAGUAAGGGCAACAAGAGAACGGGUGGGGGCACCUGUUACAACCGACCAGACCGUUCUUUCGCUCUCCCUUUCCCUCUUUGUCGUGCACUCAUCCACAUGCCACUUAGGCUGUUACAUUGAAAUUUCUACGGAACGAUCGGAUAUAUACAGCGCUUCUAAAAUGAGCGAACAAAUUUUGGAUGUGUAUACUACUACCAUAAACGUUUCGUCCAUAAUGGGACACGAUGAACUGCUCGUGCUUACUAUAGACAGAGACUACUACGCUAAUCGUUUAAACGAUACGUACGUGUUUUGACUUGUCGAUACAUUUAUGUAUAUAGGGUGUUCUAAAACAGAGAAAAGCAUUUGGGAUCUAAUAGGAUAAUCUGGUUGCUUCUAAUAAAAUUUCUAAAAUUUUAUGAUUAAAAAAUAGAAUAAAUAUUAUCAUUUUUGUUAGUGUAAAAUAGUUCGUCGAGCUUUAUUUUUAAAUUCAUAUUAAGUUACCUCACUUCCUUACAUAAGUAGUAUCACCUACAAGACAACUUGGAGGAAAGUUUGAAUGACAAUAUAUAAAUAGCCAAUUCCUGGGGGCCUUAACGAUGUUCACCUUGAGGAUGGGAAAAGAUCCCAUGGACACGGAGGGGAAAUACUCCCUUUCGAGUUAUGGCUAUCUUUUGUUUGCGACAAAGGUUUGCAAGGAUAGCUGGCUAGUUUGCAAGCGUUUAAAAUUGAAAUAAGUAUUCACCGUUAACGGUUAGAAAUGGUUUUCUUUCCUAACAGAAAACUUCUCGCACGUUCUCAAGCUACUUUGAAUUCUGUCACGCGAAACUAGGAUAUAAUUUGAACAUUGGCGACGAUAGCAGUGUAAACGAACAGCUUUAACUAUCUUCGUGAAUGAGAUUACAAAUGAUAUAUUCAAAUAAUUGGAUCUUAACCAGCACCCGUCAACAAUCUAAUCGAAGUAACUAUAAUGGAGAUAAGUUAUGUAUGAUUGGGUGUAGCAGGCCAGAUUAAAGUUAUUUGACAUUUU